GACGAACGCUGGCGGCGUGCUUAACACAUGCAAGUCGAGCGGAAAGGCCCUUCGGGGUACUCGAGCGGCGAACGGGUGAGUAACACGUGAGUAAUCUGCCCUUCACUCUGGGAUAGCCACCGGAAACGGUGAUUAAUGCCGGAUACGACCAAUCCCUGCAUGGGGUGUUGGUGGAAACUUUUUUGGGUGGGGGAUGUGCCCGCGGCCUAUCAGCUUGUUGGUGGGGUAAUGGCCUACCAAGGCUUCGACGGGUAGCCGGCCUGAGAGGGUGACCGGCCACACUGGGACUGAGACACGGCCCAGACUCCUACGGGAGGCAGCAGUGGGGAAUAUUGGACAAUGGGCGGAAGCCUGAUCCAGCAACGCCGCGUGAGGGAUGACGGCCUUCGGGUUGUAAACCUCUUUCAGCACCGACGAAGCGCAAGUGACGGUAGGUGCAGAAGAAGGACCGGCCAACUACGUGCCAGCAGCUGCCGUAAUAC
rnacentral:rRNA from 1 species